AGCGAACGCUGGCGGCAGGCCUAACACAUGCGAGUCGAACGAACCUUUCGGGGUUAGUGGCGGACGGGUGAGUAACACGUGGGAACGUGCCUUUAGGUUCGGAAUAACUCAGGGAAACUUGUGCUAAUACCGAAUGUGCCCUUCGGGGGAAAGAUUUAUCGCCUUUAGAGCGGCCCGCGUCUGAUUAGCUAGUUGGUUGAGGUAAUGGCUCACCAAGGCGACGAUCAGUAGCUGGUCUGAGAGGAUGAUCAGCCACAUUGGGACUGAGACACGGCCCAAACUCCUACGGGAGGCAGCAGUGGGGAAUCUUGCGCAAUGGGCGAAAGCCUGACGCAGCCAUGCCGCGUGAAUGAUGAAGGUCUUACGAUUGUAAAAUUCUUUCACCGGGGACGAUAAUGACGGUACCCGGAGAAGAAGCCCCGGCUAACUUCGUG
rnacentral:rRNA from 1 species